GAAACAAUUUAUAUGUACGCUUUUGGGACAAAAUGUUAGUGAUAUCCUUACAAGCAACCUGAAAAAUCUGGUUUUUGACAAGCUAGGCAAAUCAGAAUCUCAAGCAGAAGCUGUUGAAAGGUUAGGCUUACUUGUGGAUGAACCUGUAGUCAAGGUAACAACACCCUUGGACACAGUAACCCAUUUCCUGGCCAACAAGCUUGCUUUUAGUUAGGCCUUCUAAAGGAUAAGCCUCUUGUCAAGGCUGGAACUCCUUUGGACACAAUGACAAAUUACCUGUCAACGGCUCUUA